rfam:Felis catus isolate Cinnamon breed Abyssinian chromosome E2, whole genome shotgun sequence.
GCCUGGAUGGCUCAGUUGGUUAAGCAACUGACUUUGACUCAGGUCUUGAUCUCAUGGCUCAUGAGUUCAAGCCCCAUGUCAGGCU